GGUUAAUGUGUUUACCAUAUUCUGAACUGUAGUCAAUUGAAUCUAAAUGACAAAAUUCAGGCUUAAGUAACCAAGCUGUGACUAUAGCCCAGUUGGGGAACUUUUCCAGAUCAGCUAUUUUUGUCUUGAUGUUGCCAUUUGGUUUUCAAUUUGCAACAAUGUGGAGUUUAGUGAAUAAGCAGCUAAAAUGUGAUUUUUGGGGGGGAAUUAUAGGACAAAAUAGGGAAACUGUACACAUAGUUAAAUUGUGGCUUUAUUCAUUUUGCAUUGAGUAGUGUUCGUGUC